rnacentral:misc_RNA from 1 species
ACUCCUUCAAGGUUGAAAAAUAAUGCAUAUCUAUCAAAAGAAUCAAAUAAUGCACAUUAAUAAGUCUAACACAACAGGAGAAAAAUGCUGCACUUCUCGUAAGAUUACAAAAGCCAAUUGCAUAUUUUAAUUUGCGACUUCCAAUGGAUGAUUGGAUCCCUUAUAGCUGGCUGUAAAAGUGGAAAUAAAAGUCCAAAUUUGCAUCAAAUCAAUCAUCAUAAGUCCAUUUUCCACAAAAUGAAAGGCAACGAUAUCAUUUACUCCAACCAUUGAGAAAGCAACUACCAAAGAUAUAAAACUAAGGAAGAACAUAGAAUGUUUACAUCCUCUAUCUUCUGAGUUUUACCACGUUGUAAGUCUUGGCCAAAGUACUUCUUUCACAGAAAUCUUUUUAAGGGUAAUGAAACGCUUAUUGCUUUUACUGGAUAGUAUUUAUUUUUUUAAUGUCCUCUUUGCAAUUCCUUCUUACCAAACUAUUCCAGCGAAUGCAAGAUUUUAUAUUAAUGAUCAGUCUGAUUAUGUUAUAUAUCAAUUCAUAUUGAGCAUCAAAAACCUAAGAACAUCAAGGG